rnacentral:rRNA from 1 species
AACAGGAUUAGAUACCCUGGUAGUCCACGCUGUAAACGAUGUCGACUUGGAGGUUGCUCCCUUGAGGAGUGGCUUCCGGAGCUAACGCGUUAAGUCGACCGCCUGGGGAGUACGGCCGCAAGGUUAAAACUCAAAUGAAUUGACGGGGGCCCGCACAAGCGGUGGAGCAUGUGGUUUAAUUCGAUGCAACGCGAAGAACCUUACCUACUCUUGACAUCCAGAGAACUUAGCAGAGAUGCUUUGGUGCCUUCGGGAACUCUGAGACAGGUGCUGCAUGGCUGUCGUCAGCUCGUGUUGUGAAAUGUUGGGUUAAGUCCCGCAACGAGCGCAACCCUUAUCCUUUGUUGCCAGCGGUCCGGCCGGGAACUCAAAGGAGACUGCCAGUGAUAAACUGGAGGAAGGUGGGGAUGACGUCAAGUCAUCGUGGCCCUUACGAGUAGGGCUACACACGUGCUACAAUGGCAUAUACAAAGAGAAGCGACCUCGCGAGAGCAAGCGGACCUCAUAAAGUAUGUCGUAGUCCGGAUUGGAGUCUGCAACUCGACUCCAUGAAGUCGGAAUCGCUAGUAAUCGUGGAUCAGAAUGCCACGGUGAAUGCGUUCCCGGGCCUUGUACACACCGCCCGUCACACCAUGGGAGUGGGUUGCAAAAGAAGUAGGUAGCUUAACCUUCGGGAGGGCGCUUACCACUUUGUGAUUCAUGACUGGGGUGAAGUCGUAACAAGGUAACC